CCCUUAGAUGUUCUGGGCCGCACGCGUGCUACACUGAGUGGAUCAGCGGGUCAGGUUGCGCGAAAGUGUUUCCUAAUCUUUAAAUCCGCUCGUGAUGGGGAUUGACGGUUGCAAUUUUCCGUCAUGAACGAGGAAUACCUUGUAAGCGCGGGUCAUCAUCCCGCGCUGAAUACGUCCCUGCCCUUUGUACACACCGCCCGUCGCUCCUACCGAUUGAGUGGUCCGGUGAGGCUUUGGGAUCUGAGCGGAAAGAGCGUUUCGCUGUUUCUGCCCGGAAAACUCAGUCGAACCUUAUCAUUUAGAGGAAGGAGAAGUGGUAACA
rnacentral:rRNA from 1 species